rnacentral:lncRNA from 12 species
CCUGUCAGGCAACGCCUCCCACGCCAGAUGGCCGUCCCUCCUGCCCCUCCGCGGCGGUCCAGCCAAACCUGGGCCCUGCAUGGACAGAAGAGGACCCGAGCGGCCGCGGCCAAGGUCAAAGUGUCCAUCUGGACACAGAACAGUGAAACAAGGACACAUCAACUCAGAAAACCAGGAUGAGCUGGGAGGAGAAAUUCGUCAGUGAAGCAGAAAACAUAAAUCAAAUCAUGUCAAUGUUCCCUCUCGUUUCCAAACUUUUGUUGAAUUAUUAUCUGCUAUGGACUGAACUGUAUCCUCCCAAAAUUCGUAUGUUGAAGCCAUAACUCCCGAGGUGACUGUCUUUGGAGAUAGGGACUCUAAAAAGUAAUUAAGGUUAAAUGGAGUCAUAAGAUGGGUCCUUGAUCCAAAAGAAUUGGUGUUCUUAUAAGAAAAGGAAGAGAAACAGUGUGUGUGUGUGUGUGUGUGUGUGUGUGUGUGUGUGCGUGUGUACAAAGGAAAGGCCAUGUGAGGACAGUAAGCUGGCUGAGUACAAGUCAGAAAGAGAGUCCCCUCAGAGUAAACCAAGCUGCUAAUACCUUGAUCUUGGACUUCCAGUCUCCAGGAGGGUGAGGAAGUAAAUUUGUGUUGUUUAAGCCACCAAAUCUGUGAUAUUUUGUUAUGAUGGCAGCCUGAACAGGCUAACACAUGACCACUACUCCCCACCAAUUCUUAGCAAGACCAUUUGUCCCUUAAAGCUCAGGGAGGAUGCUGCCUUUUCUGGAAGCCUGCCUCUACCCCGAACUUCAUUGAAUGUCUCUCCCUUGGACUUUCCCAGCAUCCACUGUUACUCUGCCCAUGUUGUUCAUGAAACCCAGCUGUAAUGCCAUCUCCUUAUCUAUGGUGUGAACUCCAUCUCCAGGUACCCAGCACAGUGUCUGGCACAGAGUGAGUACUCAUGAGGUGAUGGAUAACAGUUGGGGCAAAUAAUACACAACAAAAGGUUUUGAAGAAAAAUCUAGGAAAUCAGAUGUCCACAGGGCUUUGGAAAUCUCUGAUAUAUUGUUAGGAAUCUGGAAGUCUGUACACAUAUGUAGGGAUGUACACAAGUCUAGGGCUACGCCUGUGCUCAGGAAAGACCUGACAAGGUUCUAAGCUCUCAACUUUGAAGAGCUUUGAGGCUCUGCUCGAGCCGGAAGUGAGGCUAAGACAGAGUUGUAAACUGCCUGGUUGAGUGUUGAAGGAGUGCGCACAGAGCCAUAAAAGACUGGGAGAUUUAUUGGCUCUAGGCAUUUAAGGAAAUCUCUGCCCUGUGAUUAGUUGGCCACUAAGCCAACUGUGCAGACUUUAGUCACAUAACAAAGAAUAAGACUUUACAGAAUUGGUUCAGAAAAGCCAAUGAAAAGCCAACAGCAACCAUGAUAAACAGCAAGAACAGCAAAUCCUGGGGAGGGGGGAGACUGAUUUCCAGAGUCAGCUACAUUGUAUUAUGUUAAAUGUCUAGUUUUCAGAAACAAACAAACAAACAAACAAACAAACACAAGGCUUGCAAAUAAACAAGAAAUUGUGGUCCA